rnacentral:rRNA from 1 species
UACAGAGGGGGCCAGCGUUGUUCGGAUUUACUGGGCGUACAGGGAGCGUAGGCGGUUGGAUAAGCCCUCCGUGAAAUCUCCAGGCUUAACCUGGAAAGUGCAGAGGGGACUGUUCAGCUAGAGGAUGGGAGAGGAGCGCGGAAUUCCCGGUGUAGCGGUGAAAUGCGUAGAGAUCGGGAGGAAGGCCGGUGGCGAAGGCGGCGCUCUGGAACAUUUCUGACGCUGAGGCUCGAAAGCGUGGGGAGCAAACAGG